rnacentral:lncRNA from 1 species
UAACAACUGAUUCCCCAGAGGCUAUCAUAGACUAUUAAUUGGUCUAUCCUUUUUUUAGGUUUUUUGUCUCUCCACACUGCUUUCUUCACACUUGUCAAAAGGAUCUUUUGAAAUGAAAUAUUCUGAAGCUUUCCCGUCAAGAUGAGUUUAAAAUGCAAUGGCCAGAAGACAAGGAAAUGUCACUAGAAAUACAUGGACAUGGACUCCUGGGCUGCUGCUGAUGACUGUGAUCUUUUGGGGUCAGCAAGGGAGUGGGCAAGGCCAAGUAAUCCAGCCAGCAGGAGUUUGGAAUCCUCAGGAAGAACAAAGACUUCUUAUCUGCACAAUGGUAGCAUUCAGAAGAGUUGGAAGUUAG